rnacentral:rRNA from 1 species
GGGCGCAAGCCUGAUGCAGCGACGCCGCGUGAGGGAUGGAGGCCUUCGGGUUGUAAACCUCUUUUAUCGGGGAGCAAGCGAGNAGUGAGUUUACCCGUUGAAUAAGCACCGGCUAACUACNUGCCAGCANCCGCNGUAAUACGUASGGUGCAAGCGUUAUCCGGAAUUAUUGGGCGUAAAGGGCUCGUAKGCGGUUCGUCGCGUCCGGUGUGAAAGUCCAUCGCUUAACGGUGGAUCCGCGCCGGGUACNGNCGGGCUUGAGUGCNGNNGGGGAGACUGGAAUUCCCGGNGUAACGGNGGAAUGUGUANAUAUCGGGAANAACACC